ensembl:lncRNA
CAGCAAGCAAUCAAUGUUCAUUAAUCCAGCAAUGAUUGAGUACCUACUAUAUGCCAGCAGCUGUCCUAGGCUCUGGUGAUGCCAGAGUAAUGGAUACACACAGAGCACCUGAUCUCAGUUCAUGGAUCUUCUUCUAAAGUCACACCGACUCCUGUAGGAUUCGGACUGUGGGCCAGUGCGGACUUAUAACCAAAUGGCCAGAGAUACAAGGAGGUCCCAUGCACAUGUGAUGUCUGCUGAAACCCCCUCCUGUUCAGCCACGAUGUCUCUCUGGAAGGAGAGCAGCAAUACAGAAUUCACCCUUGUGGGUCAACUCCCAAUAAGCACCUCAAAGCCCCUGAAAAUAUAUCCCAGAUAGAUCUUUUCAGACUGACAUAAGAGAACCACCCCCAGAACAUUAUUGAAAACAUUGCCAAUAAAAGUGAU